rnacentral:misc_RNA from 1 species
CAGAGUUCAUGCCCUCACGGGUAGACCUCCCACCCUUGAGUACUAUACCUUUGUUGCUUUGGCGGGCCGCCUCGGCUACCGGCCCCUGCUGGUAAGUGCCCGCCAAAGGACCCCAAAACUCACGUAUUAGUGUUGUCUGAGUACGAGAUAAAUAUAGUUA